GCUGGCAGUCACAGAGACGAUCCCAUUGUAAUAGAGGAUGAUGAAAAUGAUGAACCUGCCAAUACUAAUCCUUUGUUGGAGACUAUGUUUUCUGAGUCAAUUUUACAAGCUGAAUGCAUGAUUGAGAUGAGGAUUUCUACACUUAUAAUGGCGCGCAAGUAUCAACUAAGAGAGAGGAAUGAUAACAAUGAUUCAUGUUGCAU